rnacentral:misc_RNA from 1 species
UCUCCGUUGGUGAACCAGCGGAGGGAUCAUUACAGGGCUUCAAACCCCCUAAACCCAUUGCAAAUUUACCUUUGUCGUUGCUUCGGCAGGCGGCUCCAGGGGGAGCCUCGACCUGUACAGGUGCCUGCCGGAGAAACCAAAAACUCUUGUUAUUUGGUGUAAUCUGAGUUAUAAAACAAAAUUAUCAAAACUUUCAGCAACGGAUCUCUUGGUUCUGGCAUCGAUGAAGAACGCAGC